GAUGAACGCUGGCGGCGUGCCUAAUACAUGCAAGUCGAGCGAACAGACGAGGAGCUUGCUCCUCUGACGUUAGCGGCGGACGGGUGAGUAACACGUGGAUAACCUACCUAUAAGACUGGGAUAACUUCGGGAAACCGGAGCUAAUACCGGAUAAUAUAUUGAACCGCAUGGUUCAAUAGUGAAAGACGAUUUUGCUGUCACUUAUAGAUGGAUCCGCGCCGCAUUAGCUAGUUGGUAAGGUAACGGCUUACCAAGGCAACGAUGCGUAGCCGACCUGAGAGGGUGAUCGGCCACACUGGAACUGAGACACGGUCCAGACUCCUACGGGAGGCAGCAGUAGGGAAUCUUCCGCAAUGGGCGAAAGCCUGACGGAGCAACGCCGCGUGAGUGAUGAUGGUCUUCGGAUCGUAAAACUCUGUUAUUAGGGAAGAACAAAUGUGUAAGUAACUAUGCACGUCUUGACGGUACCUAAUCAGAAAGCCACGGCUAACUACGUG
rnacentral:rRNA from 1 species